rnacentral:misc_RNA from 1 species
UUUUUAUCAAUUCAAAAUAAUAUUUUAUUAUAUUAUUUAUAGAAAAUAAUAUAUACAGUAUAUUUGUGAAAUGUCGCUUUUUUGUUAAUUUAAUUUUUUUUUAUAAAUAAUUGAUUUACCAAAAUUCAUGAAAUAAAAUAUAUUUUAUAAUCUAUAUAUUUUUUUUAAAAUAAAGUAAUCAUAUAGAAACUAUCUCCAGGAGGCGAAUAUUGCAGAAUCAUUGGACAAUGAACACACUCCCAGGGCUUUCGCUGUCACAUCUGGAGAUGUUGAUCUUAUUGUCAUGUCAAGCAGGUUGUAAAAUUCUUGGCCCAUGUUUGUAUGCUUUCCUUAUCAACUUCACAACUUGCCUUUAGGGGAGGGAUCUGAUGUAGCAAGCUCUGCGUACAUUCUUGAUAUUGCAUUCUCAAAGUAUGCCUUUGCUUGAGGCCUUUUAAUCUUCAAUGUUGGAGUCACAAGACCAUUUUCCAUUAAAAAUGGUUCCAGCACUAGAGUCACAGCUUUUACAAAUUCAAAACCUUUCAGCUGCCAAAAGUAGAAGUUGGGAUCACAAAAUGUGCAAUUUAGCUAUUGAAGGGCCAAAACCUUUCCAUGGCCAGUGACAAUGAAGUACAAGUUCUAAAAGCAAGCAAGAACCUUUUUCUCUUUUCCAGUCUUAGUAAGCUCCCCAAGUAUGAAUUCUUUUGCCUUCAGAUUUUCACAAUGGGAUUUGAAGUCCCCUCCCAUGCCAUUCUCUUGUGCCCAAUUUUCUAGAGCUUGCUUAUUGGGGUUAACAACAGCAACAAGGAAUGAUUCAAAGCUAUUCCCAUAAACCCAUAUCUGAAAUUGACAAAUAGGACAAAUAACAAGAGUUGGACCAAUGAACAUCGCAAGCAGGCAAUAAUCUUAGACUGUUCAGACCUUAGAAGUGGAUGAAAUAGGAAAAGAGAAUUUAUUAUUUAGGUGACAAGAGGACUUGUCAACAGAAGAAGAGGACUGAGAAUCAGUAAUUGGCAUAUGUAGGAACUAUUCACUAUAGUUGGAUUAAAUAGAUCAGAAGCAUCAGAUAUGCAUACCGAAUCAAUACCAGAAGCAAGACCAUAAAUAUUCUCCAAGUUUUCAACUGCAACAUAUUCUCCUUGUGAAAGUUUAAAUAUGUUUUUCUUGCGGUCAAUAAUUUUCAAGCUCCCAUCUGGUUGCCAUUCACCAAUAUCUCCUGUGUGGAACCACCCAUCAAUCAGGACCUCCUUGGUAAGGUCUUCUCGUUUGUAGUAACCCGAAAACACGGUAUUCCCCCUUACACAAAUUUCACCACGUGGUGUGCUUGAAAGAGCAUCAUAAUUCAUUUCAGGGACAGAUUCUAGACAAACAUCCACGUUUGGCACAGGAGGGCCCACCGUACCAAGCAUUGGCAUUUCAUUUGGCAGCGAGACAAAUGUGCCCGCACAGGUUUCUGUAAGACCAUAUCCUUGCAAAACAUGAGCACAUGAGACCACCCGCAGGAAAGCUUCUACAUGGAUAGCAAGAGGUGCUGCUCCAGAUAGAAUAAGCCUUACAUUUCCUCCCAAGCCUUGUUUUACCUUAUCAAAGACGAUUUUGUCACAAAGUGGAGAUGCCUUGUCAUGUGAAUGCCCCUUCUUCAUAGAAUUUAAUUUGCUGCAAAAUAAUUGUUGUCAAACUAAUUAGAAUGAGAUGGCAAAAUAGCAAGAAAAUACAAACAAUAACUAAAAAAGAAACCUAGGUAAAACCACCAUGAAAAUUGAAUUUCUUCGACAUGUUAAAGGUAUGACACGAAAUCUCACAAAAGUUUAGUUACACGUACAAAACAAAUAUAGAAUUCCAACCAUAUUGCGUGAGGAAAAAAGAAGCCAAUAACAGUGAGUAAACUAAGUUUGCCAAUAAACAGCACUUCUGUAGUACAUGAAAUAAUGUCAUACCAGAAGGAAGGAAAUGGAAAAUAGGUGGGACUUUCAUCAUUCUCCCUUCUCUUCUGUUUGGGAUUGACUUUUCUAUAGGCAUAUUAAAGAAUACAACUUACUAAGAGUAUGCUAUAUUGAACAACGUCUGUUUUAAGAAGCCCCCUGAAGCAAUCUUCUGGGUCAAACCUGAAUAUAUUCUAUCUAAUACACGGGGCACAGCACAGAAAAUAGUUGGUUUGAGCUCCCCAAUGUCUUCAAUUAAUAAUUUGACAUCCCCUCUCCAGAACCCUAUAGAGGCACCAUGUGAAAUAAAUAGCUCUUCAAUCACUCGAUCAAAGAUAUGAGCAAGAGGAAGGUAUGAAAGAUAUACAUCCUUUGUAGUCAACUGUUCAUUUACACUCUCAAGCAGUCUUUUCACCCCAGCUAUAAUAGUAACAAUACUAUCAUUUGAAAUCAAUACUCCCUUCGGAUCACCAGUUGUCCCACUGGUAUACAUUAUUGUACAGAUAUCACUUUUCUUUUUCACUGGGAGAUCAUAAUGUUUAUCUUCACCCAGUUUUAAAAACUCCUCCCAAGAAUAUACUGCUAAACCAAACUUCUCGAUCUCUUCUCUUUGUUCAGGUGCAACAUUGCCAAAGCUCACAAUUGUUUUCAUGUACUGUGUUGAGUUUGGAAAUGUUUUCAACAGCUCAGCAAUUUUUUUUUCUUCUACAAAUGCAAUUGAGACCUCUGCAUGGCAUAUGAUAUAUUCCACAGCACCAGCUCCUAAAGUGUCAUAUAAGGGAACACAAAAAAGCCCAUGAGCAUUGCAGGCCUCCAUGCUCAUUAUCCACUCCGGGCAAUUGGCACCAUAAAUACCACAUUUCCCUCCCGGCUCAACACCACAACUCCGAAUUGAAUUACCAACUUUGAUCACCAAGUCGUAUACUUGUUUGUAAGUUUGCCACGCGUAUUUACCAGCCAUCCCAUUCACAGUCUCUCGGCGACCAAGCAUGGGAUUGUUAGGAUAUUUCUCCACGCUUAUACGAAAAACAUCCCAGCAACUAUCCAUUCCAGGAAUCGGAGGAGGAAAUCCAUCCUUAGCGAAGACACUGCGAUAGACAGGACCAACAGAAGGCCUUCCAUCCUUGGCCUCCUUGGCUUUCUCGACCUCUAUUAGAUAAUUCCUCUGCGCCAUUUAUCUGUGAGCAAACGAACGAGUCCUUGGUAAGUCGUUCAGUGUAGAUAUUUAUAUGUAUAUGUCGAUCUAUACGUAGAUGUGUGGAGGAAAAAACAAAGAAAGAGGAAGGAGAUAGAAGAAUAGAAAGUGGGUGGGUGUGGGUGGCCGGAGAGGAGAACUACGUCAAUUUGAAAAACAAGUUUCUGUUUUUUGUUUGGAAUUAGAAGAUGGUUUUUGACUUUUCAGAAAGAGGCAGGAGACCAAACCCAACUCCAGUUUU